rnacentral:rRNA from 1 species
GAAGGUGUAUCUAGAAAGACAAAUUAGAGCUUGAAAAAUAAAGCAUUUCAUUUACAUUGAAAAGUAUAUUGUGUAAUUCAAUUUAAUUUGAUAAUAAAAAUUUAUUAAUUUUUUUUGUUUAAGAAUUUAUUUAAUAAAAUUAAUUUUAAAUUAAGUUUUUUUUGUAUAGUAUAUAGAUCAAAUAAUUUAUAUAAUAGUUAAUUAGUAUUGUAAAAGAAUAUUGAAAUAUAUGAAAAAAUUUUAAAUUAAAAGUAAAUUUUAUAUAUUGUACCUUGUGUAUCAGGGUUUAUUAAUUAAAAGUUAAAAAUUUAAUUUUUCUCGAAUUUAAGAGGGUUAAUUUAUUAUUUAAUUUUUUGUUUCAUAAAAAUUUAAAAUAAUAAGUUAGAAAUGAAAUGUUAUUCGUUCUUUAAUAUAUCUAGUUUUUUAAGAAAUAAAUUAAAUUUAGAUUAUUAAUAGAUAAUUAUUUAUUUAAAUAAUAAAUUAUUAUUAAUAGUUAAUAUUUUAAGGGAUAAGCUUUAAAGUAAGUUUUAUAAUGAUUUUUUAAUUUAAAAAUUAUAGGUUUAGAAAUAGUCAUUAAUUAUAAAAAUGUUAUAAUUUAUUUUAAAUUAAAAAUAAUUUUUAUUAAUUUAAAUUUUUAUUAAAAUAAUUUUUAAAAUUAUAUAAGAAUUAAAAUAAUGAUAAAAUUAGUAUAUUUAAUUGUUUAAAAUAAAUAAAUUAAAAGGUUAAAUUAAGGAAUUCGGCAAAUAAAUACUCGCCUGUUUAACAAAAACAUGUCUUUUUGAAUAUAAUUUAAAGUCUAAUCUGCCCACUGAAAAAUUUUAAAGGGCCGCGGUAUU